GUGAGUAGUUCAGAGUUUGAUCCUGGCUCAGGACGAACGCUGGCGGCGUGCCUAACACAUGCAAGUCGAACGGAGUACCUUCGGGUGCUUAGUGGCGAACGGGUGAGUAACGCGUGAGAAACCUGCCUUUCAGUGGGGGACAACAGUUGGAAACGACUGCUAAUACCGCAUAAUGUAUUUUAGGGGCAUCCCUUGAAUACCAAAGAUUUAUUGCUGAAAGAUGGUCUCGCGUCUGAUUAGCUAGAUGGCGGGGUAACGGCCCACCAUGGCGACGAUCAGUAGCCGGUCUGAGAGGAUGAACGGCCACAUUGGGACUGAGAUACGGCCCAG
rnacentral:rRNA from 1 species